GUCGGGUUGCUGCGGCCCAGCCGCGGCACCCACUGCCCCCUUCCCCCUUUAACAGUUUAAGUGCGUUCCUAGUGAUUUUUUCUGGGACGGGAUGAAUAACACACUUCGUUUAGGCGUGUCGGGAGUGAAAGGUGGUCAGACCAGUUGCCGGUCCCCUGAUCCUUACUUUGUCUCAGUCCCUGAGCUCGCACUGCAGUUUAAGAGUGGCGAGCCGUCGUCGUUCGGUGUUGCCGGUGUGGUUGCACGUGUGUUCUCCCUAAAGAAAUUUCCCGUUCGGCUCAGGAAGACCCCCACGAACAUAGGUUGACUUUCUCCAUGUUGCAAAGGCUAAAACGAAAACAAAGAAAAUUAUAAAAUCGCUAAGGUCGGAUCCAAGAUCACCAUGACCAAGCAGUGACCCAGCACUGCCGUGUUUACUGCUGAACCGUGUCCCCAGGCGCCACAUGCAGGUGUUUUUUGGGACAUUUCCAGUGAUGGUGACUCCACCACUUCCCAUUCCAGUACCUGACCGCCCUUUCAGUGAAGAAGUGUUUCCUAAUAUCCAAUCUAAACCUGCCCUGGUGCAACUUGAGGCUGAUUCCUCUUGUCCUGCCCCCUGUUACCUGGGAGAAGAGGCAGACAUCCACCUCACUGCCACCUCCUUCCAGGUUGUUGGUCACACCUCUCAGUGCCUUCCUGGUGUGUUGCCUCUAUUUAGCAAACAGAGAUUGCUCUGCUGUCAAUGAAACACUCAGCCCCAGUUUUACCAGUGAGAUUUGAGAUAUAAAUAUGGAAACACAACUAAAAAGGGACCUUAAGCACAAUACUUGGUGUUCUCAGUGGUUUAUAUUUAGAACUUCAGAGACUCAUCGAGUAUCAAUGACAGCCUUGGACUUUUCAGAGAGGUUUGCCAAUAUAUUGGAAGGUAACUAGAAAGAACUAGCAACUGAUAAUGAAAACAAGGCAAACCACAGAGAGAGAUGGAGCCUAAAGAAGUGAUAUUCCGCCCUGCGUGUUUUGAACGUGGUGACCGAAGAAAACAAAGUCCUUCAGAUCUCUCUGGGGCUAAAGGGAAACUGCUAAAAUACCCUUUGAGCCUCUUCUUGCAAGACAUAUCAGAGAUCUCAGGGGAAGCUUGUUGUCCUUCUUCUUCCAGCCAAGUUCCAUAGUCAGAGGAACUCUGGAUAACUUCUAAUUUACCCUUUGAAUCUUAAAGCACCGAUUCAAAAUUGGAGAUGCUGGCGGUAACCUUUGGUGCCGCGGCGGGAAGGAAACACCGAAAGUGCACAUUAUCACGGGGAAGA